rnacentral:rRNA from 1 species
UACGUAGGCAGCGAGCGUUGUUCGGAGUUACUGGGCGUAAAGAGUGCGUAGGCGGUUUUCUAAGUUUGGUGUGAAAUCUCCCGGCUUAACUGGGAGGGUGCGCCGAAGACUGGAAGGCUUGAGUAUGGGAGAGGUAAGCGGAAUUCCUGGUGUAGCGGUGAAAUGCGUAGAUAUCAGGAGGAACACCUGCGGUGUAGACGGCUUACUGGACCAUCACUGACGCUGAGGCACGAAAGCGUGGGGAGCAAACAGG